CAGAGGUCCCGAGCGUUGUUCGGAUUCACUGGGCGUAAAGGGUGCGUAGGUGGUGAGGAAAGUCGGAUGUGAAAUCUCCGGGCUUAACCCGGAAACUGCAUUGGAAACUACCUUGCUAGAGGUUUUGAGGGGGGACUGGAAUUCUCGGUGUAGCAGUGAAAUGCGUAGAUAUCGAGAGGAACACCAGUGGCGAAGGCGAGUCCCUGGAAAACACCUGACACUGAGGCACGAAAGCUAGGGGAGCAAACAGGAUUAGAUACCCUGGUAGUCCUAGCCCUAAACGGUGCUUGCUUGCUGUAAGUGGAAUCGACCCCACUUGUGGCGGAGCUAACGCGUUAAGCAAGCCGCCUGGGAAGUACGGUCGCAAGAUUAA
rnacentral:rRNA from 1 species